rnacentral:rRNA from 1 species
ACGUAUGUCCCGAGCGUUAUCCGGAUUUAUUGGGCGUAAAGCGAGCGCAGACGGUUCGAUAAGUCUGAAGUGAAAGCCCACAGCUCAACUGUGGAAGUGCUUUGGAAACUGUCGAACUUGAGUGCAGUAGAGGUAAGUGGAACUCCAUGUGUAGCGGUGGAAUGCGUAGAUAUAUGGAAGAACACCAGUGGCGAAGGCGGCUUACUGGACUGCAACUGACGUUGAGGCUCGAAAGUGUGGGUAGCAAACAGG